UGCAGGUUAGAGAAGUCCCCUACCUGUGGAGAAGGGACAAGCCAGACUGUGUGGUGUGGAUGGGUACCUGUGUUGCAGCCAUCUUGCUGGGGCUGGACCUUGGACUGGCUGCAGGUCUCGGAAUAGAGCUGAUCAGUGUUGUCCUCAGGACUCAGUUUCCUCGCUGCAGUGUGCUGGCCAACAUUAAAGGAACUGAUAUCUACAAAGACAGAAAGGAUUAUAUCGAUGUA